rnacentral:snRNA from 1 species
CUGGUCAGAGAGCUUGAGAAGAAG